UACGAAGGGACCUAGCGUAGUUCGGAAUUACUGGGCUUAAAGAGUUCGUAGGUUGUUGAAAUAGUUGGUGGUGAAAUCCCAGAGCUUAACUCUGGAACUGCCAUCAAAACUUUUCAGCUAGAGUAUGAUAGAGGAAAGCAGAAUUUCUAGUGUAGAGGUGAAAUUCGUAGAUAUUAGAAAGAAUACCAAUUGCGAAGGCAGCUUUCUGGAUCAUUACUGACGCUGAGGAACGAAAGCAUGGGUAGCGAAGAGG
rnacentral:rRNA from 1 species